rnacentral:rRNA from 1 species
CACGUAGGGGGCGAGCGUUGUCCGGAUUUAUUGGGCGUAAAGAGCUCGUAGGCGGCUCGGUAAGUCAGGCGUGAAAACUCUAGGCUCAACCUAGAGACGCCACCUGAUACUGCUGUGGCUAGAGUCCGGUAGGGGAGCAUGGAAUUCCUGGUGUAGCGGUGAAAUGCGCAGAUAUCAGGAGGAACACCAGUGGCGAAGGCGGUGCUCUGGGCCGGAACUGACGCUGAGGAGCGAAAGCGUGGGGAGCAAACAGG